GUAGUCUCGCACAGAUGCAUAUCAAUAAGCGGAGGAAAAGAAACUAACAAGGAUUCCCCUAGUAACGGCGAGUGAAGCGGGAAGAGCUCAAAUUUGAGAUCUUAAAGGGAUUCCCUUUACGAAUUGUAGUUUAAAGAAGUGUUUUCUGUUGAGGUUUUGGUAAAAGUUCUUUGGAAUAGGACAUCAUAGAGGGUGAGAAUCCCGUAUUUGACCUUUACUUUCAACUUUGUGAUACACUUUCAAAGAGUCGGAUUGUUUGGGAAUGCAGUCCAAAAUGGGUGGUAAAUUUCAUCUAAAGCUAAAUAUUGGCGAGAGACCGAUAGCGAACAAGUACCGUGAGGGAAAGAUGAAAAGAACUUUGAAAAGAGAGUUAAACAGUACGUGAAAUUGUCAAAAGGGAAGCGUUUGACACCAGUGUUGUUUUUCUGAAAAUCAAUUAAAGAACUGUUUAUGCUAAGCUGUUUAGACUUUAUCAGCUAACUGUUUAGUUUUGAGCUUUUCUUUAAUGCACUUUUCAGUUAACAAGUCAACAUCAAUUUCUUUUGCUGUAAAAAAGCUUGAGGAAGGUGGCUUGAGAUUCGUCUUAAGUGUUUAUAGCCUCUUGCCUAUGCAGUCGGAGAGAUUGAGGUCUGCAGCGUAGAUCCUUCGGGGCUAAAUGCAUUUGUGCUAAGUUAUAGCAUUUUAUAGACAACUUGUUGACUAUGAUUUGUCUUGUAGCUUACUCGCUUAUGUUAUUUUACCUACGCUUAGGAUGUUGAAGACUCUACAGAGAUAUACACGCAUGACACACUGCAUAUCAAUAAGCGGAGGAAAAGGCUGCGGAACUGAACGACCGCUACCUACGCUUAGGAUGUUGAAGUCAUCGUAUCGCGC
rnacentral:rRNA from 1 species